CUAUACGAAGGUAUUGAAAUAAGGCUUUUAUUGGGUGCUAAGAGAAUGGUUGAACAAGGAUUAACUUUCUUUUAAUUUUUAAUGGAAUUUGAUUUAAAAGUGAAGAGGCUUUUAUUAAUUUUUGGGACAAGAAGACCCUAUGAAUUUUUUUUUAUAAAUUUAUUUAUAAUUUAUAGUUAAGAGAAUGAAAUAUUUUUAUAAGUUGAUUGGGGUGAUUUUUAAAUAAUGUAUAACUUUAAAAAGAAGGAGAAUUAGAACCAUAAUGUAUGAUUAGUUGAUUAAAAUACUCUAGGGAUAACAGCGUAAUUAUUUUGGAUAGUUCAUAUAGAUAAAAUAGUUUGCGACCUCGAUGUUGGAUUAAGAUACUUGUGUAAUGAAGUAGUUACAU
rnacentral:rRNA from 1 species